AGUAUAUUGUUAGUAGUGGCUUAUAUAAGUUCAUAAUUGGGUGAACGUAUCUACCAACUACCGUAAAAAGUUGCCUAUAAGACUCCACUAUUAACAG
rnacentral:ncRNA from 1 species